rnacentral:rRNA from 1 species
GAUGAACGCUGGCGGCGUGCCUAAUACAUGCAAAUCGAGCGAACAGAUAAGGAGCUUGCUCCUUUGACGUUAGCGGCGGACGGGUGAGUAACACGUGGAUAACCUACCUAUAAGACUGGGAUAACUUCGGGAAACCGGAGCUAAUACCGGAUAACAUAUUGAACCGCAUGGUUCAAUAGUGAAAGGCGGCUUUGCUGUCACUUAUAGAUGGAUCCGCGCCGUAUUAGCUAGUUGGUAAGGUAACGGCUUACCAAGGCAACGAUACGUAGCCGACCUGAGAGGGUGAUCGGCCACACUGGAACUGAGACACGGUCCAGACUCCUACGGGAGGCAGCAGUAGGGAAUCUUCCGCAAUGGGCGAAAGCCUGACGGAGCAACGCCGCGUGAGUGAUGAAGGUCUUCGGAUCGUAAAACUCUGUUAUCAGGGAAGAACAAAUGUGUAAGUAACUGUACACAUCUUGACGGUACCUGAUCAGAAAGCCACGGCUAACUACGUG